AUGAACCUGAAAUUCAGAAUCAUUUUCAGUUGCAGCUCUGGGUACAGCGGGCAUCCCCCAGAGAGGUCUAUGAUACCUUUGGAUAGAUUUCAAAAACUGGACAGCGGGCACAGGUAUCUCCAUGUAUUGGAUGAUGUCUGGAACAGAGAGGUCUAUAAGUUGGGAAGGCUGAAGGUCUGUCCUCAACAUGGUGGCAUGGGUAGUGCAAUGUUAACAAGAACUCGUGAUAAACAAGUCACUGAAAUUAUGGGUGCAGGUAGAGCCUACAAUCUCAAUAUUGUGGAGGAUUUCUUCGUAAAGGAAAUUACUGAGGCUAGAGCAUUCAGUUCGGAGAAAGAAAAGCCUGUCGAGCUAAGCAAGAUGGUUGAUGAGAUUGUAAGCUGA
rnacentral:rRNA from 1 species